AUCUUUCUAGUAUUAAAAAGUACAAGUGACUUCCAAUCACUUAGUCUUGGUUGGAGCCCAAGGAAAGAUA
rnacentral:tRNA from 1 species